CUAUGUCAGUAUGGGACUUACCUCAGUCCCUUGCACACCUGCUGCUCCAGCCAGAAAGCGGCUCCUCCUUUUAAUUAUUAGGGGCAAAGGGGUUUGUCUUUCUCCUUGCCCAGGACACCGUGAAAUUCGUCUGACUCCCGUCUCUGCCCCCACUCCUUAAAUCUCCAUUUCCAUUUGCUGGUUGAGAGAGAGAGAAAGAGCAAAAGCGGAGAGAAGAAAGAGAGAGAGGAGGGAGAGAGAGGCGUCUAGUCCAGCCAGAGCUGUUUGGAUCCGAGGUGGAUUGUACCUUGGCCGUAAACAUCUGACUGAGAAGUGCGAGCGGCUUGUUGCGGAGGACUGCUGGCAGUCAGGCACACCAGGGGCAGGAGGUGCCUUGGCCUGAGUUGGCGAUUUGACAACAAGCAGGCUGUUUGUCUGAAGAGCUGGCCAGCACUGGAAAAUGUCAAGGGAUAACAAUAACUUCCUGCUGUUGCUGAGGAUUAAGGAAUACUGCCUGUUUAUGAUGAAGAACCAGGACUUUUGGAACCUUACUGCCUGGAUUCAAAUCCUGUUUUGCCAUCUAUUGAUUGCUGUAAUGUUGGACGAGUUUCUUAAUCUCUGUGCCUUCAUUUCCUCACCUGUGAAAUGGAGAUAAUAAGAGUGCCAAGCCGAUGGGCUGUUGUGAGGAUUAAGUGAGAUAACACAGCUGAAUCCAAGCCAGUCUUUAGGUGGUGAUCUCCAGGACAGAGAACUGGUCAAAGAAGUGUGGAGAAUGAGGGGCUAGGGGAAAUGAUCGGAGAACAACAAGCACAGGAGAUGUUCAGUGGCUAUGACAUAACUCUGCCCUGAAUUGCUAGGGUUGUUGCAUAUUGGACAUUUGUAAAGAAAGGCACUCUGGUAACUGGGGAAAUCAGAGAUCAAACGCUCUUUAACUCCAUUCCAAAGAAAAGUAGGAUUUGAAUGAUCACAGAAGGUAUUACUAAGACAGUGUAUUACACACUGUUAAACACUGACCUCGGUGUGGGAAGUGUACCCACAGCAGUAUACAAAAUAGUACAAGGACUCAGUAUUAUAGGACGUUGAAUCACACACUGAGAAAUUAAUUCUCGUUUUAAUUAUCCCUCAGUGCUUCUGAUUAAAUCAAGAAGAAAGUUUCCACUUGAAUAUCUUAACAACUCUCUAAUAAGAACAGACCUCUCCCACUCCCCCACCCCUACGUUGCCCCUCCCCCCCUCAACUAUUGGGUAUAAGAUAGACUCAAGGAUGGAUUGUACAACACAGGAAAUAUAGCCAAUGUUUUGUAAUAACUGUAAAUGGAAAGUGACCUUUAAAAGUUGUAUAAAAAUAAAAAGUUGAAAAAAAGAGAAAAAGCCCAAGUUCAGAGCUUUUGUCAAAGAAAAAGAUCGAGCUAGAAGUUAAUAACACUGUUUGGUUUUCAUGGCUCUUAUUUUUGAAGUAGCUGUCAGUUUACGGCAAAUAAUAUUGGUUUUCCAUGUAUGGAAAUAAUGUAAGGUUUCUUUUGAAAAAAUAUAUAUUUAGGUAAGAACCAAGUCAGUUUAAAGAAAAAUGUAUAAGAGCACAGGAGGUAAUCAGCUGUGGCAAGCAUAGUGAAAGGAUACUUAAAAGACUAAGUUUGGGAAACACAGCUCAAUAUUAUUGUGAGGUGUUUAUAGUUAUCUACCAAAAAGUUUCUGUUCCAGUUUAUAGUGUUCCAGAACCUUCUCCUUCUUUGAUACAGAAACCAUUGUUGGGCAGACAAUGCUUUACUUCGUUUUAAGAUAGUGUUUUUCCUUGCACAUUUCUUCAGGUGCAGAGCAUACAGUUUAAACC